GCACCCGGCCCAGGGCUCCGCGGGGACCCUCGUUUGCAUAGCCCCGCCCCUCACUUGUUUUUCCUGGAGCCAGGGAGCCUGGCCGGCUCCCUCACCUGGUGGUCAGAGUUCUGGAUUCUGCUGUUUUGCAUAAGUCAGCUGCCACCCCUUCCCCAUUUUAAGAACUACUAGACAAUGAACACUUUUCUCGUUUGCACGGAACGCCCAGGGUCCCCGGCCGAGCGUUGUGAGAGCGCCCCCACCUCCGUUUGUCUUUAUUUGCGUAUCUGCGCACCUGUAGAAUGGUCCCGCCCCUCGCCUAGUUUGGCUUAUUUGCGUGACCUCUUCAACCUCAAUUCUGAUCGUUCCCACGAGCCCCUCUAAUGACUCAUUUCUCUUUCUGCACCUCGCCUCCAACUCUUUCCCCUGUUCCACCAAGACAGGAGCAGCCCCAGGUCCCCUGCGGCUUCCCAUGGAUUUGCCCCUGACAGCCCCAAGUUUCUGUUUCCUUUGCUCGGACUCGGCUCUUCACCCAGGCAGCCUGUGGGAGAAAAGCAAAUCUCCCACCUCCCGCCAACUCUUUUCUCCCUGAGCUCUUCCCCCUAUUAUCCCUGAUCCCUUUAUCUGCAACUCCUCCUCCUUGCGUGUGUGAGAUCACUGUGGAGCCUGUGAUCUCAUAGAGACCCUAGAAUUCCCAGUUCAGUUUCUGCUUUCCCUAGGGGAGGGGACUUGCAGUUGCUGAAAGGAAGGAAAUCUUAUCUCCCAGCGGGGAGUGCUGGGAAGCUAGAGACCAUCUAGCUGUCCUUCCCACUCCCCCCACCAUAGGCUCUUAACAAUCAUGCGUCUUCCAUCCUGGUGUCUGUUGACGGUAGGGUGUAAGGGACGCCACUGUAACAGCAGGUGCCUGAUCACCUGCAAACACCCUGUAGGCACUGGCACAUUCCCCUCUUCCUCGCGAACAUUCUGGAGAGAACCAGUUGAAACCACUUGGCUUGUCUCGGGUUGCUAGGUCAACUAACUUGCCCACUCCGCAGCGAGUGAGUUCAGGGAGCGGGUGAGCCCCAGGAGCCAUUCCCGACCCUCCCAGUCUCCCCCAGCCGCCUAACCCCCAAGCUCCAGAUUGACCUCAGCAGCUGUGGGACACUCGCCGUCUGUUCCCUUGCCCCUCCCCCUUGCUUGUUUUUUGACAAAGACCAAAUGUUAUUCUUUACUUCCUUAGGGCCCUGUCUGUGUGCGUGGACUCCUGGGGAAAACUACCCAGAACUCCGGGCCCUCCCAGCUCCUGCCCCCUCCGCUCUCCUCCCCCAGCAUUCCGGCUCAGGGUGCAGCCGCCCCUCCUGUGAGCCAGCCCGUGUGGGGAGGCGGGAAAAUCCCAGCUUCCUGGGAACCCCUCUGAGCCCUGCUCUCCACGCAUGAGUCCUCAGGCCUUUCAGGGCCCAGGCUGUAGGCCAGGCGAGCCUUUCUCGUCCCCAGAACUCUCUCCUCUGGCCCCGCUCCCCAGGCAGGGUGCUUGUAGCUUGGGGCGGAAAGGGGAAGUGGCAGAAACCCAGUCCGUGGUGCCCAUACCCUACUCCCCACACCCCCUCGUCCUUUAUCCCUGACAGAAUACAGGCUCCACCGCUCUGCUGCCCGAGUCAUUUGGAACCCUCUCUUCCAGCUUUCUCAGCUCUUUCUGAACCAGCGUGUUCCUUGCAUGCGUCCUGUGGCGCAGGUCCCCAAUGUCCCUUGGACUCGUGCCUGGGCCCUGAUAGUAGGGUGAAUCUGAGGUGGGGGAAGGGCUGCCCUCACAAAAGAGAAGUGCAGCUCAUUCUCUCACAGACCACAUCCUGUGUCUCCUGUGCCCUGCCUCCUCCAGCCCGCUCCCUUCCGCCCUAGCUUUUGCCCCCCU